AUGUGUGAGAAACUGAUUCCAGCUAUCCAGGACCUGUGGCCCACCAAAGAUGAAGAACGGACCAUCUUUAUCCAGCAAGAUAAUGCUACACCGCAUCUUAAGCCUAGUGACGAGGUUUUCCAACAGGCCAUAGAACAAACUGAUCUGGAUAUCAAGUUGAUCCAACAACCUCUAAACAGCCCCGACCUGAAUAUUCUUGAUCUCUGCAUCUUCAGGUCUCUCCAGUCGCAUACCGAUUGCAGAGCACCUCAAAGCAUCAGGGAAUUGAUAGAAGGCUUGGAGGAAGAAUAUCGAAACUAUGAUGUCGACACGCUAGCUCGAAGCUUCGUGACACUGCAAUCAUGCAUGCGAGAGAUUAUGAGAAAAAAGGAGGGAUAUACUACAAGAUUCCUCGCAUGCAUAAAGAACGUCGGCAACAAGAAGGAAGGCUUUCUAUUGCUCUCUCUUUAG
rnacentral:rRNA from 1 species